rnacentral:lncRNA from 1 species
CAUCGACUAGGUGGCACAGGCUUCGACUUCAUGCUAUUUAAGUCAACUUUAAAUUAAAUUACUUAUGUUAAUAGUUUAUAUCUAAUUUAGCAAAUGCUGAUAUUUGCGAGCUUUGGAAAUGUUAUAUAAAAUUCCCAUCUGUGAGCGCCGGCGUAAAACGAGAGACUAUUGAAUGUGUGCAUGUGGAUGGGUCGAUCGGUGAAAAGGAGAUUUGCAUUGAUGAGGACACAGGGGAGCGCGUCCAAUGUCCCUCAGAUAAGUGCUUCAAAGACGCUAUGACGAGGAGCGGCGGCCUAGCAGGAAGAGGGUUUCCUUUCUUUGGCGACGGUAGCGACGACACCAGCGAUGAAAAGCGAGAUUGGAGUUUCAUAGGAAGCUGCGAAUAUCAG